rnacentral:rRNA from 1 species
AUUGAACGCUGGCGGCAGGCCUAACACAUGCAAGUCGAACGAGUGGCGGACGGGUGAGUAAUGUCUGGGACACUGCCUGAUGGAGGGGGAUAACUACUGGAAACGGUAGCUAAUACCGCAUCCCAUCGGUUCUGCCCAGAUGGGCUUAGCUAGUCGGUGGGGUAAAGGCUCACAUAGGCGACGAUCCCUAUCUGGUCUGAGAGGAUGAAGAGGCACACUGGAACUGAGACACGGUCCAGACUCCUACGGGAGGCAGCAGUGGGGAAUAUUGCACAAUGGGCGCAAGCCGGAAGGAGCCAUGCCGCGUGUAUGAAGAAGGCCUUCGGGUUGUAAAGUACUUUCAGCGGGGAGGCGUUACCCGCAGAAGAAGCACCGGCUAACUCCGUGCCAGCAGCCGCGGUAAUAC